rnacentral:lncRNA from 1 species
GCAGGGGUGGGGCAGGAUUCCUUUCCGAUCUGGGCUCUCCUGUCCCGUUUCAGAGCCACCCAAAUUCAUGUGCAGCCCGGAGAGAGCCCGCAAAAGCUGCCCCGUCAUCCAGCUAGACGGCGCCACUCAGUACCGCCGGGGGCGCAGGCAAUCCGAGCCGGCCACUGAGCUGAGCCAGAUGGGGCAGGAGCAGAACGGUCGCUGUCGGGGGCUCCCAGCCACCCCCAAAUUGAAGCACGCGGGCAGCGAGGGGGAGCUGUUCCCCGCCCCACCGCCACUGGCGCUCUCGGGCAGCGUCUGCACCCUGGACUCCAGCGUGGCCGAGGAGUCAGACCCCGGCGAGGACGCCGNNNNNNNNNNUCAGAGCAGUGGGU